AACGAACGCUGGUGGUAUGCUUAAUACAUGCAAGUCGAACGGGCAUAGCAAUAUGUCAGUGGCAAACGGGUGAGGAAUAUAUAGGAACCUCCCUAGCAGUAAGGAAUAACUUUGGGAGACCAAAGCUCAUGCCAUAUAUUACCCCUUAAGAAAUUAAGGGGGAAAGAUUUAUCGCUGUUAGAUGGGCCUGUAUCAGAUUAGCUAGUUGGUAGGGUAAUGGCCUACCAAGGCAAUGAUCUGUAGCUGGUCUGAGAGGAUGAUCAGCCACACUGGAACUGAGGCACGGUCCAGAGUCCUGCGGGAGGCAGCAGUAGGGAAUAUUGGACAAUGGGCGCAAGCUUGAUCCAGCAAUACCACGUGAGUGAUGAAGGUCUUCGGAUUGUAAAGCUCUUUUAGUAGGGAAGAUAAUGACGGUACCUACAGAAAAAGCACCGGCUAACAUCGUGCCAGCAGCCGCAGUAA
rnacentral:rRNA from 1 species